ensembl:lncRNA
CUGGGUCCCAAUUUUUGGCACCAAUCAAAAUGACAACCUUGGUUUCUGGGACCAUUCCUUGAUGCAUUUGUUUUUGGAGGGCAGAGAUAAACUCGGGAAAGAUGGAAUGCUGUAUUUUUCCACCAGAGACAUUGUUUGUGUUGUUCUUGUCCUUCUCUUUUUUAAAGAGGUCAGGGAGGCCCUUUGCUGCAGGGCCAUGUGCUAAUGCUCCCAGAGUUACUGCGGCGCUGCUCAGAGCACAGACGGACACGGCACCUCCUUCUCCGAAGGGUCCAAGGGCUCUUCCAAUGUCAUCAUCUCAGCCUUCCCCACAAAACAUCCCACCUGGAGACGUCCUUUAUAAUGUAGCGGACACAGACGCUGACCAAGAAAACAAGUAUUAAUCUUUCUCCUAUCUGCAAUUGCCUCCAUGAUGCUCCAGCAUGCUGCUUACCUAGUUGGUUGCAGCUACAGUACAUUUUCCAGUAACUCUUGCAGUUACAUGGGCUGAGUCCUGGCCAACAAAGAAGUGGCCAGAAAUGAUAGAUGUCUCUUCAAACCCUGACCUCUUAAUAAACCCACAUUGAUCUUCCA